AAAGUUUGAAAAAAAGAAAAGAAAAGAAAUCAAUGCCAAAAAAUUUCUCAUUUUCUCUUUUCUGAUCUUUUUUCUUUUUCUUUUUUCUUUC
rnacentral:ribozyme from 13 species